rnacentral:rRNA from 1 species
GUCUACAGUGAUGCCACCAUGAAUGUGCCUGAUCUCGUCUGAUCUUGGAAGCUAAGCAGGGUCGGGCCUGGUUAGUACUUGGAUGAGAGGCCACCUAAGAAUACUGGGUACUGUAGGUG